AGAGUUUGAUCCUGGCUCAGGAUGAACGCUGGCGGCGUGCUUAACACAUGCAAGUCGAACGAUGAACCUCACUUGUGGGGGGAUUAGUGGCGAACGGGAGAGUAACACGUGAGUAACCUGCCCUUGACUCUGGGAUAAGCCUGGGAAACCGGGUCUAAUACUGGAUACGACCUUCCCGCGCAUGCGGUGUUGGUGGAAAGCUUUUGUGGUUUUGGAUGGACUCGCGGCCUAUCAGCUUGUUGGUGGGGUAAUGGCCUACCAAGGCGACGACGGGUAGCCGGCCUGAAGGGUGACCGGCCACACUGGGACUGAGACACGGCCCAACUCCUACGGGAGGCACAGUGGGGAAUAUUGCACAAUGGGCGCAAGCCUGAUGCAGCGACGCCGCGUGAGGGAUGAAGGCCUUCGGGUUGUAAACCUCUUUCAGUAGGGAAGAAGCCGGCUUUUGGGUUGGUGACGGUACCUGCAGAAGAAGCGCCGUUUAANUACGUGCCAGCAGCCGCGGUAAUACGUAGGGCGCAAGCGUUAUCCGGAAUUAUUGGGCGUAAAGAGCUCGUAAGCGGUUUGUCGCGUCUGCCGUGAAA
rnacentral:rRNA from 1 species